rnacentral:rRNA from 1 species
UGAGGAAUAUUGGUCAAUGGGCGGGAGCCUGAACCAGCCAAGCCGCGUGAGGGAGGAAGGCCCUAUGGGUCGUAAACCUCUUUUGUCAGGGAACAAAAGCGAGUAUGUAUACUAGUCUGAGUGUACCUGAAGAAAAAGCAUCGGCUAACUCCGUGCCAGCAGCCGCGGUAAUACGGAGGAUGCGAGCGUUAUCCGGAUUUUAUUGGGUUUAAAGGGUGCGUAGGCGGCGGUGCAAGUCAGCGGUAAAAGCCCGGGGCUCAACCCCGGCGAGCCGUUGAAACUGCAGUGCUAGAGAAGGCGAGAGGUACGCGGAAUGCGCAGUGUAGCGGUGAAAUGCUUAGAUAUUGCGCAGAACUCCGAUUGCGAAGGCAGCGUACUGGCGCCUGACUGACGCUGAGGCACGAAAGCGUGGGGAUCGAACAGGAUUAGAUACC